UAGGUGGAAGCUUGCCGGUUUAAGCUUUUAGUUGUUAAUUAAAUGUAUGUAGGAUCGAGGCCUGCCCAUCUAG
rnacentral:tRNA from 1 species